AAUAAUUCAAUAAUAGACCGUGGAGUUCAAUUAUUCUUACAAAACAGAGAAACAAAAGCUGAGCGGUCUGGUCUGAUGCGUAGCCUAACGAACGAUGCCAUCUUCCGCACCAAUCUCAUCGCCUUCAUCUCUCGCUCUCCUCUCAACCAAAACUCGAUCUCCACUCUCCCUCUUCCUCCUCACUCCCAAAUCCCUAAUCUUCUCCUCCACAACCAGAACCCCCGAUCUUCCUUCUUCCCUUUUCGCUUCCCGGCGACCCCGCGAUUUCAUCAACGGGAGGGAUGAGUUCGCAGACGGUGCGCGGACAGGCUGGAACCGGAGGAUCAGACCGGAGUACGGGUUCGACGACGAGGAAGACGAAGACGAUCACGAGGAGGAGGAAGAAGAAGAUAGAAGCUUGGAUCUUUUACUUAGGUUUGUGGAGAAUGUCUUCAGAAAGGUUUCAAAGAGAGCAAGGAGAGCCGUCCGAUCAAUCUUGCCUGUUUCCAUCUCCACGAAGCUGGUGGGUUUCUCAGUGAAUGGCGUACUUAUACUUGCGUUUUUGUGGAUCUUGAAGGCCUUUCUCGAGGUAGCUUGCACACUUGGGACUAUUGUAUUUACGAGCAUUCUACUUAUACGGGGACUUUGGGCUGGUGUAGCAUACGUUCAAGAAAGCCGCAACAAUAGGAUCAACGAACUCGCUGAUGACCCUCGUGCUUGGAACGGGGUGCAACCAGCUUCUUGAUUAUAAUUCGCUUUAUGCUUCAGAGAAUCUCAAAUUUCUGACUUUCGAGAGCUAAAACCGGUUCAGGUUCUCCGAAGGCAAUAAAAUCACAGCUGAGUUCUGAAUCAGAAAGCAGUUACAGUGGAUGGAUGUUCUUUCGUUUUUUUUUUUUUUUGCGUCGGCUGAUAAUAUUAUUUUCAAAAGUAAAAUCCUGAUACAACGACUUCGGACACACCAGAGCCCAAAGAAAGGCAACUAAGAGCAAGUCCAUCGGGGGCUCCUAAAGGAGGUUUCAAACAAAAUGGAAAAAAAAAAUAAAUGAAAAAAGCCAAAAAAAGAAAGAACCGCCUCUUAAAUGGACCUUUCUGGGACCGGUAGUUUCUGGGACUGGUAGGAGACCCUAACGUGGUAGUUUUCUAUACGACCUCCCCAUAAUGUUUCUCUCUUUCUCCUUUGCCUUGCGAAAUCAAUUUGCCUCCGUUCUGGAAUCUCAUCAGAAGAGAAGAAGGCUUGAAGAGAAUAGCAACGAUCAAUCUGACUCCUCUCUCGUUCUCAUCGAUCCGCCUCCUCUCUCGAAUCUCUUUCUUUGACUCGACGGGGCAGCUGUGGAAGGAGCAGACGGUCGCCGGGAAGCCUGCUGGGUUCUUCGUGAGUACGGGGACUCAGGGAGGUGGACAAGAGACCACUGCAUGGACAGCAAUCACACAGCUGGUGCAUCACGGGAUGCUAAUCGUCCCCAUAGGCUACACAUUUGGAGCAGGAAUGUUCAAAAUGGACUCGAUCCAUGGAGGCUCACCUUAUGGAGCCGGUGUGUUCGCUGGUGAUGGCUCAAUAGAAGCUACGGAGACAGAGUUGGCUCUUGCUGAACCUCAAUGAAAACCUCAAUGAGGUUCAUUUUCUUUCAAAUCAUUUAACUUAAAAUAAAAAAAAAUUAAGAACCUUGAUGAGGUUCUCCCAAUGGAGGACGAAAAAAUUAAAUAGACAAACAUGGGUUCUAAAGUUUUCAAAUCAUAAAAUUAACCACUAAUUUAAUCUUAAGAACCCUUUAUGGUCUCUAACCAAUGGAGGUGGUCUAAAGCCCACAACGGAGCAGCUUAGAUCCACAACAUGUCGGACACACCAAAGCCCAAAAAAGGCAACUAAAACCCACAACGGAGCAGCUUAGACCCACAACAAGGGCAACUAACAUAACCUUGAUAAAACAUAGACCAAACCGCAAUAAACACAGCAACCUAAACAUAGCUACACUUAAGCAUAAGACACUCCAAUGUAGCAAACCUCCUAAAUAGCAAUAAGCAGUGAGCUAGACAUAUCGCUGCUGCCCACGGCAACCACCCGAUACCGUCCGCUUGAAGAACCCAAGACACCAAGUCUUCUUAACCCGGAUCUAUCGCUGCCGCCUAUGGCCUGCCAAAUGAUACCAUCCCUACUCGUAACCAAGACCCAAAGCUUCACAACCCGACAAGAAGAAUCGCUCCACGAUCCACACAACUUUCGGAUACGGUUUGAACGCACUCUCUAACGUCCACUUUACACCUAGAUAGAAACUCACCAUAACCCUUCACACAAUCAAGCCUCGACGAUCCAAACCCAUAACACUAAUUAACACUCCGACCGACGAAAGCUCACUGCAAUCACCACCAUAAAAGGAGAAAUCUGCCACUGAACCCGUCAAACACAAACACAGAAACUUCUCGCACUGGGACUGGCAAGCCGCUAAGAUACGAUGAAAAUAAAUAUACUAGUAGACAGGACAAGUCUAAUCCCGAAACCAUUCCUAGACGGACCGAUAGUGUCCAAGAGAUUGAAUUCAGACCAAGUACCAAUGAUUUCAUCACCCUAAGGCGCUUCCAAACUAUACCCAUAGUCACCAGCAACACCUAUCACAAACCAUGGUGACCAAACGUCCAAAACAAACUGAUACUACAAAAGCGGACCUUGAUGACGGGAAGCGGCGAACUCGUCUAACUAGUCCAACUAAUCAAAUCUUUCAACAGUUUAAACCUCCACCACCGGACAGAACCUGAGGCUCGUCGUCAAUGGUGGGAUGUUGGAACAUCAC